AAUCACGGGAUUAUUCUGAUAGAACUCUUUCAAAGAUUCCGUCGAAACGGUCCUGUGAUUGGUGAUCCGCUCGUUCCGCUUCCGCAUAUUCCGCUCCAUGGGACCGUACCCUAAGACGAUUUUAGGGACAUUCAGAGCACGUUAAAGAUGAUGUGGUUGGUUGACGCAAAUUACGUUUACACCGUAUGUAAAGCCACUCUGAGGGUGCAGUCCCAUAGAGCGUAUUACGCCUAAGCGGAACGAGCGUAUCACAAAUUACGGGACCGUUUCGACGGAAUUUUUGAAAGAGUUCUAUCAGAAUAAUCUCGUGUUGGUGUUCCGCUCGUUCUGCUUAUGCGUAAUACGUUCCAUGGGACUGCACCCUGAGGCUGAUGUCCCCUGGAGCGGAUUAUGCGGAGCGGAAUGAGGGUGCAGUCCCAUGGAGCGGAUUAUGCGGAAGCGGAACGAGCGGAUCACCAAUCACGGGAUUAUUCUGAUAGAACUCUUUUAAAGAUUCCGUCGAAACGGUCCUGUGAUCUCGUUCGCACAUGUGUACAAGUGCAAAAUCCACCUUUUGCACUUAUGCGCAUGCACGAGACCAUCUUUUGCACUUGUACGCAUGCGUGAACGAGAGAGAAAGGUAUUACCCAAAGCAUGCUAGCCUUUUCCCUCUGAAUCUUACCCCUACUCCCACAAUGCUCAGUCUAGAUAUAUUAUAGGCGAGUUUUUUAAUUUAUCGAUCAAUUGCAUUAUGCACAGAUGCUUUUCUCUGUAAAAACUUUUUUUGCGCAUCGUGCGAUUGAGUAAUCGAUGAGUUAAAAAACUCACCUUAUGUCUAUGGACGCGACAGACUCUUAUUGGGUGCGUUCCACUUAAAGCUUGCAACGACCGUGGAAUCAUUUUAUCCUUGUUGUUUAUCAAAUAUUAAACAAAGAUAAAUGACGCUCGCAAGCGUUGCGAGCGUUAAGUGGAACGCACCCAUUGUAGAUCCGCCCUAAUCCGCUUCAUAGGACCGCAACCCGAGUGGUUGCGCUGCUGGUUGCAAUGGCCGCAUUCAGCAAACUCAGCAGCUAAGUAGCAAUCGAACAUGAUUGGUUCUGACUUAUAGAACCAACAAAUCAACGGCAUUAUUCAACGGAAAAUCUAGUAAUGUUGCUCAACUACUGAGUCUGCUGAAUGCGGCCAAUGAGUCUUUAUUGCGAUUAGUUUUUGCUCUAGUUCUAUUAAAUAACUAAGACCAAGAACCAAUUGAAUUAAAAAAUCACUGCGCGGCAAACUGUAGAUGCAGACCAAUUGAGACAAAGGUUAAUAUGCGAUGUUCGAAGAUGUGGAUUUUUUAUUGUAUCUGCGCAUUUUACGGUAAAGAUAUCUGUCGUGAUGAAAAUUUAUAUUAAAAUUUACAAGGAAGUUGUAAAAAUUCUAAUAAUGUUUGCUUUAGUAAUGCUCACCAAUGGUACAUAUUACGUAUGUCCAUUAAAUGAUAUUUACGCAAGAAAAGGUAAUAAUUGCAUGUUGAAAAAUGCGCAGUUAAGAACAAAGGCAUGCAUAAUGGCUGUUAACGCAAAUAUCGAGCAUCUUUCUAAAAUUAAAAAAAAAUUUAAACCAUAAUAUUCCUCGAGUAAAAUUACAAUCUAUAAAUCUUUGCAAGUAUAAAACACUUAGCCGACAAAAGCCUCGAAUAAUUAAAUCUGAGGUACUUAAAAAAGGCCAAAAAUAAAAAUAAAAAAUAAAAGUAAAACUAAUCAGCAGGCGCAAGAAAAACUAAAGACUACAUCUGAAGAAUACAAUCUCUCUGAUAUGAUUCUUACAAAUGAUUUUUCAAAUGCUAUACUACAAAUAGACACUGUGA
rnacentral:lncRNA from 1 species